rnacentral:rRNA from 1 species
GCAUAUCAAUAAGCGGAGGAAAAGAAACUAACAAGGAUUCCCCUAGUAACGGCGAGUGAAGCGGGAAGAGCUCAAAUUUGAAAGCUGGUACCUUCGGUGCCCGCGUUGUAAUCUCGAGAAGUGUUUUCCGUGCUGGACCAUGUACAAGUUCCUUGGAAUAGGACGUCAUAGAGGGUGAAAAUCCCGUACUUGACAUGGAUGCCCAGUGCUUUGUGAUACACUCUCCACGAGUCGAGUUGUUUGGGAAUGCAGCUCAAAAUGGGUGGUAAAUUCCAUCUAAAGCUAAAUAUUGGGGAGAGACCGAUAGCGAACAAGUACCGUGAGGGAAAGAUGAAAAGCACUUUGGAAAGAGAGUUAAACAGUACGUGAAAUUGUCGAAAGGGAAGCGCUUAAAGUUAGACAUGCCUAUUGGGAUUCAGCCUUGCUUUUGCUUGGUGUAUUUCCCGGUGAGCAGGCCAGCAUCAGUUUCGGCUGUCGGAUAAGGGUUAGAGGAAUGUGGCCCCUCGGGGUGUUAUAGCCUUUAACUGGAUACGGCGGCUGGGACUGAGGAACGCAGCGUGCCUUUAUGGCGGGCCUUCGGGCACCUUCACGCUUAGGAUGCUGGCGUAAUGGCUUUAAGCGACCCGUCUGAAACACGGACC